rnacentral:rRNA from 1 species
AACACUCUCGUUCUCGGGCCUCUACCUAAGACUCUGUACUUAGGUCCGGGAUGCCCCGCGUCGUCCGCGCUUUUGAAAUGUUACGCCCUUUGGAACUAUUCCCCUGUGGGUCACGGGCGAAGUAUACCCCCGCCAGGUCUACACAUUUUUUGUGGACAAUCGUUCCCGGCCCGUUCUGGCCACGGUCGGCGGCGCCAUUGUGGCCGCCGGGCUCACCACUAGUACUAAUAACCCGGAUUUCGCAGGCAUCGGCCGAACCAUUCAGAAGGCCCUUUAGGGUGUCGAGUUGAUAACCCGAAAGCCCCCUAUGAUAGUCCGAACCUCGGCCCUCUCCAUUCUCCAUGAGGGCCCCAUCCUCACUUUAGAAUAUUAGGGCCCUCCUGGUGGACACCGCUUCCGCAGGUCGACCUUGCCUGGACUGCCACUCAUUGCUUUCGGUCCCCGCGCUUGGCCUAAUCUAUGGGCCCAUCAGGACCGGCAUUUGCUCGCCUGUCCACAGCCCUUCCGAGGCUCGACGAGGUCACGG